CUGCAGCACUCCACAGGGAUAGCAACUGAAGCUUUGUGUGAGGGUGAUGUUCCUGUUUUGAGCAUCUGGACUCAUGAAGUACAGAUGAAGACAUGAAGGGAUCAGUCUGCUCUCUAUUGGUGCUUGUCAUAACCUCAGUGUUGCUAACCGCAUCACCUGGUGACAGCAGCACAGAGGCUCCAGUGAGGAACUUCAACGCUGUUUUGGGUCAGAGCGUGACAUUACGAUGUCCAGGAAACCUCAGCGUCCACAUUUUUCGUUUGUACUUACAGAUGCAGAGAGGCCAAACAGAUUAUUUCAUCAAUGGGUUUGAUACAGCCAGAUCGCUACCUGUGACUGAGUACAUGAACAGAACUGAAGUGAACCAAACGGACCUCAGUGUGACGAUGAGCAACAUCACAGUUUCAGAUGAAGGACAGUAUAAGUGCAUCGUUUUUUACACAGAAAUGCCUAAUGAAGAGCAUGUCAUCAACCUCAAAGUUACAGCCAUGUACAGCGUUCCCACUCUGAUGGCAGAGUGCAUCCACGUCAACGGCCCUGCGACUGGUGGGAAGAGCUGUCAGUUAAGCUGCUCCUCUACUGGCGGUUAUCCUUGGAGUGAGGUAGAAUGGCCGGGGCUUCAUCCGAGUGAAUCUGACAACGAGACAGAAAGUUUUCAAGAUCCACACUCCAAAACAUGGACCAUCAACCAAACCGUCACGUACUACUGUGACCAUCCCACCAAUGUUAGCUGUUCCAUAGGACGCACUGUUUCCCACACAAUUACCAUAUGUGAAGCGGAUUCAUUUCCUCUUCGGGUGAAUAUUGCGAUUGCUUUCGUAGUAACUUUUGUCCUGUUUUUAGUUCUUGUUCUUGUAUUAAUGAAGUGUCACUGUAGAAGACCACGUCCCAACCCAGCUGCAGUUUCGCAGUGAUAUGUCCAGCAGGGGGCGCCAAAGGCGAGUGAAAUGGUGUCGUAAUCAGACAAGGUUUUUAAGGUGAAUAUUAGACUGAGAUUUUAAAGAGUAAAAUGUACUUCCCUAAUAAUGUGAAAAAUAAGUGUUUAUUAAGUCAUAAUCAGCCGUUGUACUCGUGAUUUGUGUGAAAGUGAAUAAAACACAGUUGUCGUAGCGCCCCUAGUGUUCAAUUCACCAGGAAACUGCGCCGAAACGUAAAACGUGGCACGUAAAAGUCAGUUUGCAAAAAUGUAGUUAUAGUAAUGUUCAUUCUAUGAGACUAGGUUGCUAUAUUUAGCUUUGUUCACCAUUGAUUGAAUCACCAUUGAUGUUAUAAACUGAAUUAAUUCCAACCGUAAUUCAACUGUAGAUGCCAUAAUUUAUCUCUCUCUCUCUUUACAGAGGAUCCUGCGCUUGGAGUUCCAUUAGCGUAGCGACUGCCAUUCGCAGCCUCAGAAGAGCUGAGCCGUGACAACUAAAUGUUGAAAAGAAGUUGAAUAUAUUUCCCACCAUUCUGCCAAUGCGGAGGUGCCUACAACACCACCCAGAGCCAAAGAGGGGCAUGUUGUACCCGCAGCGAGGAGGCAGUUUGUGCGACUUUAAAACUGGCCCAUUACCAGCCAUGAUGGACACUUGCAGAGAACAAUGAUGGACAUGUUAAUGCAAACGUGAACAACUAAAAGUUAACUAGUGAAAGUCCCUUCCUUUUCAUAAUAAUUUAUUUGGCAGAGUAGGGUUUUUUUUCUCUGCAUACUGAAGUUACAUGCUGUUAUGCUACAAUAUGUUGGAUGUGAUAAAAUUAGACUUGUGUGGGGGGGAUUUUCUCCCUUUUUCUCCCCAAUCUGGAAUGGCCAAUUCCCAAUGCGCUCUAAGUCCUCGUGGUGGUGUAGUGACUCGCCUCAGUCCGGGUGGCGGAGGACGAAUCUCAGUUGCCUCCGUGUCUGAGACCGUCAACCCGCGCAUCUUAUCACGUGGGUUGUUGAGCACAUUACCGCGGAGACUUAGUGCGUGUGGAGGCUUCCCGCUAUUCUCUGCAGCAUCUACGCACAACUCGCCACGCACCCCACCGAGAGCGAACCACAUUAUAGCGACCACGAGUAGGUUACCCCAUGUGACUCUACCCUCCCUAGCAACUGGGCCAAUUUGGUUGCUUAGGAAGUCUGACUGGAGUUACUCAAAGAGCAAAUUUUUAAUUUAUUGAACUUAUCCAGAUUAGUUCAAACUCUAAAUGUUACUCUAUACGUCUGCUCCACAGUAUACAGUAUAUAUAGUCCGUAUGUGUCAAAUCGUGCCACUUUAUUCCAAGGAAUGGGAAUGUAAACGCUGAAACCCUUUCCAAAUGGUUAACUAAGGUGAAUGUUCAAAUUCAGGGUAGGUUGUUACAUUUAUUAAAAUAACCAACACCAUUUUGAUAACUGUUUUUUUUUGUUAACUUCAGAAUAUCAUGUUGGAAUAUUGAAUGUUACCCUGUUCAUUUUAAAGGGACAUUUCAUUUGCUUCUAGAAGCCAAUUAAUUGUGUCUUUAUUAAAGCUUUAUUUUUAAAAGCUCGUUCUUAUUUGAAGCGCAAAAACUGUAUUCCAAAGAAUUAGAAAUUGCGUUAUUACAUUUUUUGUGGUUUAUUGGCUAUGGCUUUUUAAAGAUCUUGUUUUCUUUUUAGUAACAGUCUCAUUGCUGUAUAAUAAAGAAAACCGCAAAGCUGUGAUGUAUACAUCAGUCUGUUUAUGUGUACAGUAUUGACUUUUUCACUUUUCUUAAACCGUCACAAACUACUGACAUUUAUGCAAACAACUGUCUGUCUGUUUUGUCUACAAUGUUUUGGGGUAUAAUUGUUCUCAGUGUGAGAAUUAUGGGAUAUUUAAUUUUCCUCAUGGAAAUGUCUAAUGCACUUUGCUUUCUAACUGCUUGAAAAUGUCCCUAUGGUUUACGCUGUAAUUUAUGAAUAACUUAUUUCUUUGUUUUCACAUAAAGAAUAUAAAAUGUUUUGUGAUGUGUUUCCAUUAUUAGUGGGUACAAAAGUCUUGAAACCGGAUUGAAAAGAUUUUGAAACAUUCAUACCGGGAAAUAAACACAUUUAAAACAAAUAAAAGUAAACUUUAAGACUG